rnacentral:rRNA from 1 species
GACGAACGCUGGCGGCGUGCUUAACACAUGCAAGUCGAACGGAAAGGCCCUGCUUUUGUGGGGUGCUCGAGUGGCGAACGGGUGCGUAACACGUGAGUAACCUGCCCUUGACUUUGGGAUAACUUCAGGAAACUGGGGCUAAUACCGGAUAGGAGCUCCUGCUGCAUGGUGGGGGUUGGAAAGUUUCGGCGGUUGGGGAUGGACUCGCGGCUUGUCAGCUUGUUGGUGGGGUAGUGGCUUACCAAGGCUUUGACGGGUAGCCGGCCUGGGAGGGUGACCGGCCACAUUGGGACUGAGAUGAGGCACAGACUCCUACGGGAGGCAGCAGUGGGGAAUAUUGCACAAUGGGCGGAAGCCUGAUGCAGCAACGCCGCGUGCGGGAUGACGGGCUUCGGGUUGUAAACCGCUUUCGCCUGUGACGAAGCGUGAGUGACGGUAAUGGGUAAAGAAGCACCGGCUAACUACGUG